GAUCCUGGCUCAGGAUGAACGCUGGCGGCGUGCCUAACACAUGCAAGUCGAACGAAGCAUACAUUUUUGAAGUUUUCGGACAGAAAAGAGGUAUGACUUAGUGGCGGACGGGUGAGUAACGCGUGGGUAACCUGCCGUAUGCAGGGGGACAACAGUUGGAAACGACUGCUAAUACCGCAUAAGCGCACGCUAUCGCAUGAUAGAGUGUGAAAAGAUUUAUCGGCAUACGAUGGACCCGCGUCUGAUUAGGUAGUUGGUGAGGUAACGGCCCACCAAGCCGACGAUCAGUAGCCGACCUGAGAGGGUGACCGGCCACAUUGGGACUGAGACACGGCCCAAACUCCUACGGGAGGCAGCAGUGGGGAAUAUUGCACAAUGGGGGAAACCCUGAUGCAGCGACGCCGCGUGAGUGAAGAAGUAUUUCGGUAUGUAAAGCUCUAUCAGCAGGGAAGAAAAUGACGGUACCUGCAUAAGAAGCCCCGGCUAACUACGUGCC
rnacentral:rRNA from 1 species